GAUGAAUGCUGACAGAAUGCUUAACACAUGCAAGUCGAUGGGGAAGUGGUGCUUGCACCAUGGCAACCAUGGCGGACGGGUGAGUAACGCGUAAGGGACUUACCUGCAGGACUGGGAUAACAGGGGGAAACUCCUGACAAGACCGGAUAAUGUCAUGGAGCUGCAUGGCUUUAUGAUGAAAGGAGACGCCUGCGGAGAGCCUUGCGUCCUAUUAGCUAGUUGGUGAGGUAAUGGCUCACCAAGGCGAAGAUAGGUAGCCGGCCUGAGAGGGUGGACGGCCACAAGGGGACUGAGAUACGGCCCUUACUCCUACGGGAGGCAGCAGUGGGGAAUAUUGGACAAUGGGGGCAACCCUGAUCCAGCAAUUCUGUGUGCACGAAGAAGGUUUUCGGAGUGUAAAGUGCUUUCAGCAGGGAAGAAGUAAGUGACGGUACCUGCAGAAGAAGCGACGGCUAAAUACGUG
rnacentral:rRNA from 1 species